AACGCACGCUGGCGGCAGGCUUAACACAUGCAAGUCGAGCGCCCCGCAAGGGGAGCGGCAGACGGGUGAGUAACGCGUGGGAACAUACCCUUUCCUGCGGAAUAGCUCCGGGAAACUGGAAUUAAUACCGCAUACGCCCUACGGGGGAAAGAUUUAUCGGGGAAGGAUUGGCCCGCGUUGGAUUAGCUAGUUGGUGGGGUAAAGGCCUACCAAGGCGACGAUCCAUAGCUGGUCUGAGAGGAUGAUCAGCCACAUUGGGACUGAGACACGGCCCAAACUCCUACGGGAGGCAGCAGUGGGGAAUAUUGGACAAUGGGCGCAACCCUGAUCCAGCCAUGCCGCGUGAGUGAUGAAGGCCUUAGGGUUGUAAAGCUCUUUCACCGAUGAAGAUAAUGACGGUAGUCGGAGAAGAAGCCCCGGCUAACUUCGUGCCAGCAGCCGCAGUAAAAC
rnacentral:rRNA from 1 species